UGAAUAUAAGAACCCGUCUCUUAAUUUUUAACUACAAAAGCUAAAAAUCGGCUCUUAAAUAAAAGUUUUAAAACCCGAUUCUUAGCUUUUGUAGUUAAAAGUUAAAAGACAUGUUAUUAUAUUCC
rfam:Brassica oleracea var. oleracea cultivar TO1000 chromosome C3, whole genome shotgun sequence